rnacentral:rRNA from 2 species
GAGUGAUCGAAAGAUGAAAAGCACUUUGAAAAGAGAGUUAAAAAGUACGUGAAAUUGUUGAAAGGGAAGCGUUUAUGACCAGACUUGGGCUUGGUUAAUCAUCUGGGGUUCUCCCCAGUGCACUUUUCCAGUCCAGGCCAGCAUCAGUUUUCCCCGGGGGAUAAAGACUUCGGGAAUGUGGCUCUCUUCGGGGAGUGUUAUAGCCCGUUGUGUAAUACCCUGGGGGGGACUGAGGUUCGCGCAUCUGCAAGGAUGCUGGCGUAAUGGUCAUCAACGACCC